rnacentral:rRNA from 1 species
CAAUAGCGUAUAUUAAAGUUGUUGCAGUUAAAAAGCUCGUAGUUGGAUUUGUGGUGUACUUCGGCGGCCCGUCACUAUGUGAUGGAGCUUGCUGAAGUCGCCAUCCUUGGGUGGAUCCUGUGUGGCAUUAAGUUGUCGUGCAGGGGAUGCCCAUCGUUUACUGUGAAAAAAUUAGAGUGUUCAAAGCAGGCUUAUGCCGUUGAAUAUAUUAGCAUGGAAUAAUAAGAUAGGACCUUGGUACUAUUUUGUUGGUUUGCGCACCAAGGUAAUGAUUAAUAGGGACAGUUGGGGGUAUUCGUAUUUCAUUGUCAGAGGUGAAAUUCUUGGAUUUUUGAAAGACGAACUACUGCGAAAGCAUUUACCAAGGAUGUUUUCAUUAA